UGGGGAAUUUUCGGCAAUGGGGGAAACCCUGACCGAGCCAUGCCGCGUGAAGGACGACAGCCUUAGGGUUGUAAACUUCUGUGGAGAGUUACUAAUUUUGAAGAGCUUUCUAGAAAGGGGUUGCUAACUCUGUGCCAGCAGCAGCGGUAAUACAGAGACCCCAAGCGUUAUCCGGUUUCAUUGGGCGUAAAGCGUUCCGAUCGGUGGUUUCGUGUGUCUAGGGUGAAAGACCGCAGCUUAACUGCGUGUUUGCUCUGGAAACUGCGUUACUCGAGUCAUUAAGAGGUAGCUGGAACUCUACAAGUAGGGGUGAAAUCCGUUGAUAUGUAGGGGAACAUCAAAAGCGAAGGCAGGCUACUGGGAAUGUACUGACACUGCUAGGACGAAAGCGUGGGGAGCGAUACGGAUUAGAUACCCCCGUAGUCC
rnacentral:rRNA from 1 species